rnacentral:lncRNA from 1 species
GGGCCACCGAUGACUGGAGUCAUGCUGUGUUGUCUCUUUGUGACUGGAAUCCUGUCUCUUUAACAUCCUUGGAUCUGUCCCUCCUCUCCCUUCUCACGGCACUGCCUCUUAUGAUCUCAGUGAGUACAGUGGUCUCCAAACUAGUCCCCUGCCUCAGUUCUCCCUCCUUCCUAUCCUCACUCAACUCAGCCUCCAAAUGAUCUUGGUGAAAAUCAGUCCUCAUGCUACUCCCAAGCUGAAAACUCCAACUGCUUCCCAAGCUCCAACUCCUAAGCUCCAACUGCUUCCCAAGCUCCAACUGCUUCCCAUGGAUGGAUAGAGAGCAUGUCUUUAAAGCGCACCUCACCACACAGGCUCCCGGCACCCCUGGUUGGGAUAAUGCCCCCCUCUGCUCCCACACCUCUGUAGGAAGCUCUAAAGAAGCAGCGCUGCCCCUGCCUAGCGGAGGAGACUGGGACUCCCCACAUCUCUCUGUGUUCCCAGAUUGAGCCGGGCAAGAUCACAUCUGACAUCUGCACAUCUCAGCGCCCAGCCCCUGCCUGGCUCAGAGUGAAGUGUCUUCCAAUCCAUUGAAAUUUCUAGUCCCGGGGUCUCGAGGACACUAGGGCCACUGUGCAAUGGCAGAAGGAGCAUUGCCAUAGAAGUCAGGGGGCCUGGUUACAAGUCCUGACUUUAGUUGAGGACCUGCCAUAUGACCUUGAGCAAACUGCUGUACUUCUCUGGAUCUCAGUUUCUACAACCUAAUUCACUGGGCCCAGCCUGCAGCCUGCAAGCACCGGAUGAGUGGACGUGGCUGAGCAGCCAUGAGAAAGAUGUGGGGCUCUCCGGUGACUGUAGACCCAGCAUAAAUCAACAGUUCAAGGUGCUCAUCCCCAAAGCCAUGGUGAGACCUUAGCUGCUGUAAUAAAAGUGUAGUGCCAAAGUAAGGGCAAUGACA